CCCUACGGGUUGUAAACUGCUUUUAUACGGGAAUAAACCUCAGUAUGUAUACUGAGCUGAAUGUACUGUAAGAAUAAGGAUCGGCUAACUCCGUGC
rnacentral:rRNA from 1 species